UACGAAGGGUGCAAGCGUUACUCGGAAUUACUGGGCGUAAAGCGUGCGUAGGCGGUUUCGCAAGUCCGAUGUGAAAUCCCCGGGCUUAACCUGGGAACUGCAUCUGUGACUGCAUCGCUGGAGUGCGGCAGAGGGGGAUGGAAUUCCGCGUGUAGCAGUGAAAUGCGUAGAUAUGCGGAGGAACACCGAUGGCGAAGGCAAUCCCCUGGGCCUGCACUGACGCUCAUGCACGAAAGCGUGGGGAGCAAACAGG
rnacentral:rRNA from 1 species